rnacentral:rRNA from 1 species
AUUGAACGCUGGCGGCAGGCCUAACACAUGCAAGUCGAGCGGAUGAAGAGAGCUUGCUCCUGGAUUCAGCUGCCGACGGGUGGGUAAUUCCUAGGAAUCUGCGUGGUAAUUGGUGAGAGCGGCCGGAAGCGGGCGCUAAUACCGCAUACGUCCUGAGGGAGAAAGGGGGGGAGCUUCGGACCUCACGCUAUCGGAUGAUCCGAGGUCGGAUUAGCUAGUUGGUGGGGUAAAGGCCUACCAAGGCGACGAUCCGUAACUGGUCUGAGAGGAUGAUCAGUCACACUGGAACUGAGACACGGUCCAGACUCCUACGGGAGGCAGCAGUGGGGAAUAUUGGACAAUGGGCGAAAGCCUGAUCCAGCCAUGCCGCGUGUGUGAAGAAGGUCUUCGGAUUGUAAAGCCCUUUAAGUUGGGAGGAAGGGCAGUAAGUUAAUACCUUGCUGUUUUGACGUUACCAACAGAAUAAGCACCGGCUAACUUCGUG